UUUUCAGUUAGGCUUUUUUAUUUCAAUCAAUAGUUUAACAAGUGCUUAAACUUCCCCAGCAGUUUAAUCUGGAACAUAGUUUAAGAGGAAAAAUAUUUUCUAUAACUUUACAAAAAUAAAAAGUUGUGGGUUUUUUUGUUUUUUUUUUUUAAAUCCUGCACUUUAAGCAAGCACACUCCAACUCAAGCAAGACAGACAUAUCUUAAAAUACGGACUUCUGUUCAUAAAAAUGACAUUCUACCCCAGGGCAGCAGGCACAAUAUGUAAACGUUAUAGGAACAGAGCAAGAAUACUUGUUUAUUUUUUUUUCCUGAUCCUUUUUGUCUUAUUUCUUAAAUAGGAGCUGUUAAAACAAUUUGCCCAACAACUUUUUCAGGUUACCAUUCCUUCUGUCAGGUGGCUCCUUGAGUAGGAUAUAACUGAGCGAAAAACUUCCACCUGUCCUGGCAACACUAGUGGUUCUUGAAGAUACCACCAUUAAUUGUUUCUUUAUUGUUUUUAAAGCUUCUGCAAUGGGACAAAUCACUCAGUUUGUAGGUCUUCUGGUGCUAAACUACUUGCAGCUCAACUUCUUCAAAAGCCAGGCCUGCCAGCACAUGAGGUCAGGCUGGAGAAAUAAAAUGAAUGGAAUAUACUGCGUCAUAGAUGUGGACAGUGCUGUGCAGCAGUUUAGUGUGUGAUGAAACCAGAGGAUCAAGGAACCUUAGCUCCUAGUUCUGUGCCUGUAACCUAGGAGAAGCCUUGGAGAGAGCAUGGGUUGGCAAAUAAACUAUACACUCUGAGGACUUCCAUCUUUUUCCAACUUGACUUAUAUUGGCUAAUAGAAAGAAAAAAUAUACAGGCACAUGGAGGACAGCUGGUGCAGCAUACACUAAGAACCCAGAUCAUAAAAUUAUGUUUCUGGGCAAUGCUACAAAUAAAGUAAAUGAGGGCCCAGUCAGGUAAGAACUAGACAGUCCUUUCUCUUGAAACUGUUGUAAUAUUUCUGGCAUUGGGCAAUUUGCAGAGGAGCCACACGCACUAAUAAACUGUAGAUCUUUACUUUGAUGAAUGUAGAACAUUGUGCUGCAGAGCAGUUCUGUUGCUCCAUCCUGCAUCACCAGCAUGGGCAGAUUUCAGCGGGGACUGAGUUGUGGUGGCACUUGCAUAGAGAAGGAACAGUGACAACUGUUCUGACAACUCCUAGCCAUUGAUAGUUUUCCAGAGAUAGGACCACCUAACAUGGGAAUGAAUGGUUAACAAUGGUGGAAGAAGCUUGUCUCGUGUAAUUUAAGGAACAUCACGCCACACCUAUCCUCAUGAAUAAAAGCUAAUAUGAAUUCAAGUCAUAUGCCACUCAGUCUCAAACAGAAGUCAGAAGCAAAGCUUGUAUUUAAGGCACUUGUUUGACUGUAAUAGCUCAGUAACUCAGCUGGAGAUAAGCUGGUGUCAGUCUGCUGAAUAUACAACUCAAGUCUAUAGCUAGAGAAAACCAAAUUCCGUUCUGGUUCUUAGCUUCUCUUUCAGAGGUGUUGUGUUUCCUUUUUGACCCUCCAGUUAAAACUGUGCUUCUGAUGCCUCCCUACCUACUCAUCUAGAACUGACUCUUCAAGUAGGUUUGACUCUGUGGAGCAGACAACCACUGAGAAAUGCUGAUCAGAGCAGCUGUUGUUCAUGAAGGGUCGAUCCAUCAUGGUGCAUCGGCUUUCAGCAUCUUCCAUCAGGCUGAAGGAGGAUCUGAUAUCAGGUGGAUGGUUGAACACUUCUUCCAGUGACUGCUGAGCCAUUGUGAGCCUUGUUCCUGACUCUUAAUGAGUUUUCUGUGACUUUUCAUCUGUCUGAGGAAACAAUGUCGAAGAUGUGACCUGACCUGGCAGUGAGUCUAUGAUACUGUUCCUUCUCCCUCCUCCUGCUGUCUCAAAAUUAGGUGAACCGAUUUUGUUCCAACUCUGAGGAAAUUUACAUCCGAGGCUGAUACCAAGUUGGAAAACUGUCAAGAAGGUAUGGACUUUGAGGAGAUGGGAAGUCUAAGCAUAACCAUUUAUUGCUGAAAUGUCUUUUUUCUGCUGCUUUGCUAGCAAGGUCCAUGCUGUCACUGUGUUUUCAAAGAGCGCUUUUGCUAUAGCAGACGGUAUGGAGACUCACCUAUGUAAAGCUGAAGGACCUUCAUUCAAGACAUACUUUUCCUAUGAUGUUGAAAAUAACACAUUAAAGGCUUUUUUUCUCACACAGUACUCGUAUGAGAAGUUAGAAGUUGCUCAUACUGAUGAAGAUUGCUCAUACAUUAUGACCUUACUCCUUACAUUUCUUACACAGCUUCCUGUUCCUCCUGUGAGCCAAAACACAUGUGUAUGUCAGUAAAAGCCACCACCCAAAUGCCUCAAGGUUAAGACAUACCCUCAGCUUGUUCCCCGUUAAAGCAGGGGAGCAUGGUUCAUCUAUGAACUUGCAUGUCCCUCCCCAGCAUCCCUGUAGGCCCCCUUCAGAUACUGGAAGGCUGCUAUGAGGUCUCCACGCAGCCUUCUCUUCUCCAGGCUGAACAGCCCCAACUUUCUCCGCCUGUCUUCAUACGGGAGGUGCUCCAGCCCCCUUAUCAUCCUCGUGGCCCUCCUCUGGACUCGCUCCAACAGCUCCAUGUCCUUUUUAUGUUGAGGACACCAGAACUGUACACAGUACUCCAAGUGAGGUCUCACGAGAGCAGAGUAGAGGGGCAGGAUCACCUCCUUUGACCUGCUGGUCAUGCUGCUUUUGAUGCAGCCCAGCAUACGUUGGCUUUCUGGGCUGCAAGCACAUACUGCUGGCUCAUGUUCAGUUUCUCAUCAGCCAACACCCCCAAGUCCUUCUCUGCAGGGCUGCUCUGAAUCUCUUCCCGCCCAACCUGUAGCUGUGCCUGGGAUUGGUCCAACCCAGGUAUCGGACCUUGCACUUGGCUUGGUUAAACUUCAUAAGGUUGGCAUCGGCCCACCUCACAAGCGUGUCAAGGUCCCUCUGGAUGGCAUCCCUUCCCUCCAGCGUAUCAACCGAUCCACACAGCUUGGUGUCAUCGGCAAACUUGCUGAGGGCGCACUCAAUCCCAUUGUCCAUGUCGCCAACAAAGAUGUUGAACAGGACCGGUCCCAACACCGAUCCCUGAGGGACGCCACUCAUUACAGGUUUCCAACCGGACAUUGAGCCAUUUACCACAACUCUUCGCGUGCAGCCAUCCAGCCAGUUCUUUAUCCACUGAGUGGUCCAUCCAUCAAAUUGAUGUCUCUCCAAUUUAGAGACAAGGAUGUCAUGCAGGACAGUGUCGAAUGCUUUGCACAAGUCCAGGUAGAUGACGUCAACUGCUCUGCCCCUGUCCAUCAGUUCCGUGGCUCCAUCAUAGAAGGCCACCAAAUUGGUCAGGCAGGAUUUCCCCUUAGUGAAGCCAUGUUGGCUGUCACCAACCACCUCGGUGUUUUUCAUGUGCCUUAGCAUGCUUUCCAGGAGAAACUGCUCCAAGAUUUUGCCAGGCACAGAGAUGAGACUGACUGGUCUGUAGUUCCCUGGGGGGUUAUAUUUCCCUUUUUCCAGUUGUUGGGAACUUCACCUGACUGCCAUAAUGGACAGUGGCUUAGCAACUUCAUUCGCCAGCUCCUUCAGGACCUGCGGAUGGAUUUCAUCAGGUCCCAUGGACUUGUGCACGUUCAGGUUCCUAAGAUGAUCUUGAACCUGAUCCUUUCCUCUCAGCCUUCUCCAAAUCCAGAGUAGCCAGUUCUCCUGAUAGCUUCCGGAGAGGGCCCACAUUAUCCCUAGUCUGUUCAGUCUGUCCCACAAGGAGUAAAGGGAGGAUGUGGCUGUGUUUGUGCCACUCUUGCUCCUUCCUCUGGUAAGACUGGGCCAGUCUAAAUAGGGUUGCAUGUUACGACUCCACUCAUUUUUUUACUUUGCCCACCUGACUGACAGCAAAUCCAAGGCACAAACACCAUGGGCAGAGCUUGUAAGGCCUCAGCAAUGUGAAAACGUAAGUCGUCCCUGCAGCCUUGUAUUGCAGCUUACCUGCACUGUGUGCAUCCGACAGAAAUGCUUCUGUCUGGCUUUAAGGCGGCUUGGUUGUAACUACUCACUAGAAACAAAGGGAGGUCUUGAAGCAAUUACAUAGCUAAGGAAAUAGAAAAAGGAAAUAUUUAAACCACUGGUUAUUUUUACAACUUAAUGAUUGUAAAAAUAGCUUAAAUUACUUGGACUAUUUUUUUCAUCAGAGGUAUCAACUGUUUAGCACUAUCUGAACAGAGGGCUGUUGCUUUGCUGUUUCUUUGUGUGUUACGAGCUGUGAGAUAAUGACAAGAUAAAUCUUUGUGUGUUUCCUCCUUAUAUACAUAUCUACAUCAGAGCUGUGAAGUCAGAGAGGGAAGCUGCUAUCACAGUACUGGCACAAUACUGAGCCCUUCCCCAGAGCUAUAUUCUGAUGAGAAACGGGGUGUUGGGGAGAAGAGUACCACAAUGGUAAGAUGGCAGAGACGGCUGAAGCAGGAUCAUAACGUUCACCCCAGCAGUUAAAAAAAAUAAUAAAAGGAGACCUCCUCCCUCCCCCCAGAAUUCUGCAGUCCUAAAGUGCAAUUACUUUUGUGCAGUCAUGUCAGGCCAGGGAUCAGACUGGAUGAAGUUCAAAGCACAAACAUCAAACGAGU
rnacentral:lncRNA from 1 species